UACGAAGGGGGCUAGCGUUGCUCGGAAUUACUGGGCAUAAAGCGCACGUAGGCGGUCUUUUAAGUCGGGGGUGAAAUCCUGGAGCUCAACUCCAGAACUGCCUUCGAUACUGGAAGACUUGAGUCCGGGAGAGGUGAGUGGAACUGCGAGUGUAGAGGUGAAAUUCGUAGAUAUUCGCAAGAACACCAGUGGCGAAGGCGGCUCACUGGCCCGGUACUGACGCUGAGGUGCGAAAGCGUGGGGAGCAAACAGG
rnacentral:rRNA from 1 species